rnacentral:rRNA from 1 species
GAUGAACGCUGGCGGCGUGCCUAAUACAUGCAAGUCGAGCGAACAGACGAGGAGCUUGCUCCUUUGACGUUAGCGGCGGACGGGUGAGUAACACGUAGGUAACCUACCUAUAAGACUGGGAUAACUUCGGGAAACCGGAGCUAAUACCGGAUAAUAUUUCGAACCGCAUGGUUCGAUAGUGAAAGAUGGCUUUGCUAUCACUUAUAGAUGGACCUGCGCCGUAUUAGCUAGUUGGUAAGGUAACGGCUUACCAAGGCAACGAUACGUAGCCGACCUGAGAGGGUGAUCGGCGACACUGGAACUGGGACACGGUCCAGGCUACUACGGGAGGCAGCAGUAGGGAAUCGUCCGCAAUGGGCGAAAGCCUGACGGAGCAACGCCGCGUGAGUGAUGAAAGUCUUCGGAUCGUAAAACUCUGUUAUUAGGGAAGAACAAACGUGUAAGUAACUGUGCACGUCGUGACGGUACCUAAUCAGAAAGCCACGGCUAACUACGUG